GCGCUUGUUUUGGCAGCACAUAUACUGAAAUUGGAAGGAUACAGAGAUCAGCACGGCCCCUGUUCAAGGAUGACAUGCAAAAAAAAAAAAAAAAAAAAAAAAAA